CAGCAGCCGCGGUAAUACGAACCGUGCGAACGUUAUUCGGAAUCACUGGGCGUAAAGGGCUCGCAGGCGGUUUCUUAAGUCUGAUGUGAAAGCCCCCGGCUCAACCGGGGAGGGUCAUUGGAAACUGGGAAACUUGAGUGCAGAAGAGGAGAGUGGAAUUCCACGUGUAGCGGUGAAAUGCGUAGAGAUGUGGAGGAACACCAGUGGCGAAGGCGACUCUCUGGUCUGUAACUGACGCUGAGGAGCGAAAGCGUGGGGAGCGAACAGGAUUAGAUACCCCCGUAGUCCCUGUCUCUUAUAC
rnacentral:rRNA from 1 species